rnacentral:tRNA from 1 species
UCCUGCGUAGCUCAGCGGUAGAGCAAUCGACUGUUAAUCGAUCGGUCCUAGGUUCAAAUCCUAGCGCAGGAGCCA